rnacentral:rRNA from 1 species
CCUACGGGCGGCAGCAGUGGGGAAUAUUGGACAAUGGGCGAAAGCCUGAUCCAGCCAUGCCGCGUGUGUGAAGAAGGCCUUCGGGUUGUAAAGCACUUUCAGUGGGGAAGAAAGCCUUGGGGCUAAUACCCUCGAGGAAGGACAUCACCCACAGAAGAAGCACCGGCUAACUCCGUGCCAGCAGCCGCGGUAAUACGGAGGGUGCGAGCGUUAAUCGGAAUUACUGGGCGUAAAGCGCGCGUAGGCGGUCUGAUAAGCCGGUUGUGAAAGCCCCGGGCUCAACCUGGGAACGGCAUCCGGAACUAUCAGGCUAGAGUGCAGGAGAGGAAGGUAGAAUUCCCGGUGUAGCGGUGAAAUGCGUAGAGAUCGGGAGGAAUACCAGUGGCGAAGGCGGCCUUCUGGACUGACACUGACGCUGAGGUGCGAAAGCGUGGGUAGCAAACAGGAUUAGAUACCCUAGUAGUC